CGACCUCAGAGCAGGCGAGACUACCCGCUGAAUUUAAGCAUAUUACUAAGCGGAGGAAAAGAAACUAACAAGGAUUCCCCCAGUAGCGGCGAGCGAACAGGGAAGAGUCCAGCACCGAACCCCGCAGGCUGCCGCCUGUCGUGGCAUGUGGUGUUUGGGAGGGUCCACUACCCCGACGCCUCGCGCCGAGCCCAAGUCCAACUUGAAUGAGGCCACGGCCCGUAGAGGGUGCCAGGCCCGUAGCGGCCGGUGCGAGCGUCGGCGGGACCUCUCCUUCGAGUCGGGUUGCUUGAGAGUGCAGCUCCAAGUGGGUGGUAAACUCCAUCUGAGACUAAAUAUGACCACGAGACCGAUAGCGAACAAGUACCGUGAGGGAAAGUUGAAAAGAACUUUGAAGAGAGAGUUCAAAAGUACGUGAAACCGUUCUGGGGUAAACGUGAGAAGUCCGAAAGGUCGAACGGGUGAGAUUCACGCCCAUCCGGCCACUGGCCUCCGCCCUCGGCAGAUGGGGCCGGCCGCCCGCGCGGAGCAAUCCGCGGCGGGGUCGUGUCCGGUUGCCUUUCCACUCGCCGCGGGGUGGGGCCGUUCCGGUGUGCGGUGGGCCGCACUUCUCCCCUAGUAGGACGUCGCGACCCGCUGGGUGCCGGCCUACGGCCCGGGUGCGCAGCCUGUCCUUCCGCGGGCCUCGGUUCGCGUCUGUUGGGCAGAGCCCCGGUGUCCUGGCUGGCUGCCCGGCGGUAUAUCUGGAGGAGUCGAUUCGCCCCUUUGGGCGCUCGGGCUCCCGGCAAGCGCGCGCGGUUCUUCCCGGAUGACGGACCUACCUGGCCCGGCCCCGGACCCGCGCCGCUGUUGGCUCGGGAUGCUCUCGGGCGGAAUAAUCGCUCCCGUCAGCGGCGCUUCAGCUUUGGACAAUUUCACGACCCGUCUUGAAACACGGACCAAGGAGUCUAACAUGUGCGCGAGUCAUUGGGCUGUACGAAACCUAAAGGCGUAAUGAAAGUGAAGGUCUCGCCUUGCGCGGGCCGAGGGAGGAUGGGGCUUCCCCGCCCUUCACGGGGCGGCGGCCUCCGCACUCCCGGGGCGUCUCGUCCUCAUUGCGAGGUGAGGCGCACCUAGAGCGUACACGUUGGGACCCGAAAGAUGGUGAACUAUGCCUGGCCAGGACGAAGUCAGGGGAAACCCUGAUGGAGGUCCGUAGCGAUUCUGACGUGCAAAUCGAUCGUCGGAGCUGGGUAUAGGGGCGAAAGACUAAUCGAACCAUCUAGUAGCUGGUUCCCUCCGAAGUUUCCCUCAGGAUAGCUGGUGCUCGUACGAGUCUCAUCCGGUAAAGCGAAUGAUUAGAGGCCUUGGGGCCGAAACGACCUCAACCUAUUCUCAAACUUUAAAUGGGUGAGAUCUCCGGCUUGCUUGAUAUGCUGAAGCCGCGAGCAAACGACUCGGAUCGGAGUGCCAAGUGGGCCACUUUUGGUAAGCAGAACUGGCGCUGUGGGAUGAACCAAACGCCGAGUUAAGGCGCCCGAAUCGACGCUCAUGGGAAACCAUGAAAGGCGUUGGUUGCUUAAGACAGCAGGACGGUGGCCAUGGAAGUCGGAAUCCGCUAAGGAGUGUGUAACAACUCACCUGCCGAAGCAACUAGCCCUGAAAAUGGAUGGCGCUGAAGCGUCGUGCCUAUACUCGGCCGUCAGUCUGGCAGUCAUGGCCGGUCCUUGCGGCCGGCCGCGAAGCCCUGACGAGUAGGAGGGUCGCGGCGGUGGGCGCAGAAGGGUCUGGGCGUGAGCCUGCCUGGAGCCGCCGUCGGUGCAGAUCUUGGUGGUAGUAGCAAAUACUCCAGCGAGGCCCUGGAGGGCUGACGCGGAGAAGGGUUUCGUGUGAACAGCCGUUGCACACGAGUCAGUCGAUCCUAAGCCCUAGGAGAAAUCCGAUGUUGAUGGGGGCCGUCAUAGCAUGAUGCGCUUUGUGCUGGCCCCCGUUGGGCGAAAGGGAAUCCGGUUCCUAUUCCGGAACCCGGCAGCGGAACCGAUACAAGUCGGGCCCCUCUUUUAGAGAUGCUCGUCGGGGUAACCCAAAAGGACCCGGAGACGCCGUCGGGAGAUCGGGGAAGAGUUUUCUUUUCUGCAUGAGCGUUCGAGUUCCCUGGAAUCCUCUAGCAGGGAGAUAGGGUUUGGAACGCGAAGAGCACCGCAGUUGCGGCGGUGUCCCGAUCUUCCCCUCGGACCUUGAAAAUCCGGGAGAGGGCCACGUGGAGGUGUCGCGCCGGUUCGUACCCAUAUCCGCAGCAGGUCUCCAAGGUGAAGAGCCUCUAGUCGAUAGAAUAAUGUAGGUAAGGGAAGUCGGCAAAUUGGAUCCGUAACUUCGGGAUAAGGAUUGGCUCUGAGGAUCGGGGCGUGUCGGGCUUGGUCGGGAAGUGGGUCAGCGCUAACGUGCCGGGCCUGGGCGAGGUGAGUGCCGUAGGGGUGCCGGUAAGUGCGGGCGUUUAGCGCGGGCGUGGUCUGCUCUCGCCGUUGGUCGGCCUCGUGCUGGCCGGCGGUGCAGGAUGCGCGCGCCUGCGCGGCGUUCGCGCCCCGGUGCUUCAACCUGCGUGCAGGAUCCGAGCUCGGUCCCGUGCCUUGGCCUCCCACGGAUCUUCCUUGCUGCGAGGCCGCGUCCGCCUUAGCGUGCUCCUCCGGGGGCGCGCGGGUGCGCGGAUUCUCUUCGGCCGCCAUUCAACGAUCAACUCAGAACUGGCACGGACUGGGGGAAUCCGACUGUCUAAUUAAAACAAAGCAUUGCGAUGGCCCUAGCGGGUGUUGACGCAAUGUGAUUUCUGCCCAGUGCUCUGAAUGUCAACGUGAAGAAAUUCAAGCAAGCGCGGGUAAACGGCGGGAGUGUGGGUGCAAGCCUGCGCGUGCCGUGCGUCCCGUGUGCGUCGGCGCGUCCGCGUGUGCGGCGCAGUUUACUCCCUCGCGUGAUCCGAUUCGAGGACACUGCCAGGCGGGGAGUUUGACUGGGGCGGCACCCUGCUGCAGCCGCCACCCGACAUCCCCGGUCUGCUGGACUUCUGGGCGGACCUCUUCACGAAGAAGCCGAUCUCCACCGCCGGCUUCAUCCGUGACCGCCUUCUCCCGCACUCGGAGCCUGUCGCUCCUGAGUGCCUAUGGGGGCCGGUCACACGUGAGGAGGUCGCUGCUGCCUUGCCGCCCAGGGGAUCGGCAGCCGGGCCGGACGGCCUGACUCCAGCGGAGCUGCGGCGCCUGCCGCAUGAAGUCCUGGUGAAACUCUUGAACCUCUUCCUCCUGGCCCGCGCCCUCCCCGAGCGUCUGCUUCGCGCCCGGACGUCACUUCUCCCCAAAACGGCUGCACCAACAUCCCCCGCUGACUUUCGCCCCAUUACGGUCUGCUCGGUGUUGGCGCGGACCUUUCACAAGGUUCUCGCGUCACGCCUGAUGCGUGCAUGUGCUGUGGACGAACGUCAGCGGGCAUUCAUCCCCCGGGAUGGGAUGUUGGAAAACACCUUCAUCUUGGACACUGCUCUCACCGACGCAGUCCGCUCCUGUCGCUCUGUCUUUGUGGCAUCGAUCGACGUCUCUAAAGCGUUCGAUUCGGUGGACCAUGCUGCCCUCCGCCCCGUGCUGAGGGCUCAUGGCCUGCCGGAUUGCUUUAUUGAGUACGUCGAAAGGUGUUACGAGGGUAGCACGACAGUGAUAGCGGGCGGCGCCGACGUGGGCGUGCCCCUGCAGCCGGCUAGGGGUGUGCGUCAGGGUGACCCCCUCUCCCCCCUCCUUUUCAAUUUUGCGGUGGACUAUGUUUUGAGUCAACUUCCCUCCCACAUCGGAGCUCGGAUCCUUGGUCGCAGAGUUAACGCUGCGGCCUUCGCAGAUGACGUCCUGCUUUUUGCAUCGACCGCGAGGGGAUUGCAGUCCCUCAUCGACGCAGCCGUCGCAGCCCUCGCCCAUCUGGGGCUGCAGAUCAACGCCCGGAAGUGUUUCACCCUCGCCUUAGUCGCGUCUGGGCGCGACAAGAAGGUGAAGGUCGACGCCGACGUUACCUUCAAAGCGGGCAACGCCACCGUGCCCGCCCUACGUGUGGGUGAAACCUUCCGGUACCUGGGACUGCAAUUCUCCACCGCGGGUCGCUGCGUUUUCAACCCACGACGCCACCUGGUGGAGCAGCUGGACGUCAUCUCCCGAGCUCCGCUCAAGCCGCAACAGCGCCUCCACGCCCUCACCACCGUACUUCUGCCUGGCCUGUACCAUGGGCUGGCCCUCAGCCGCACCCGAGUGGGUGCGUUGAAAGCGGCAGAUGUGACCAUCCGUGCCGCCGUCAGGAGAUGGUUCCGCCUUCCGGCGGACACUCCCCUGGGCUACUUCCACGCUCCUGUAGCCCAGGGAGGCCUCGGCAUCCCAUCAUGCCGAUGGAUGGGGCCAACACUUCGCCGGUCCCGUCUCCUGGCGCUGAAGAGGAUUGGGCCAGCCGCCGACGGUGCAGGCCGGGACGAGGUGCAGCGUGAGAUUGAGGCGCUGGAGCGGCAUCUUAUGUGGGAGGGCCACCUCCUCAAAUCGUCGACACAGGUUGGAGAGAUGUGGGCCGCGCGCCUGCAUGUUGCCUUUGACGGUGCGGCGCUGUCAUCUUCCGCCGCCGUCAAGGGGCAACACCAGUGGGUCGCUGACACCAGUCGCCUGCUAUCUGGGCGUAACUUCAUCGACGCUCUCCGCGCCCGCAUCAACGCCUUCCCCACGAAGGCACGGCGCAGUCGCGGGCGGGAGGCGGACACCAGAUGCCGCGCGGGCUGCCAGGCCGUAGAGACCGCCAACCACGUGUUACAGGCUUGCUUCAGGACGCACGGGUCCCGGGUUAAGCGGCAUGACGCGAUCGUGCGCUAUGUCGCCCGUGGACUCGCGCAGAGGGGCUUCAACGUCUCUGUGGAGCCCCACCUCCGCACACCUGAGGGAAUCCGCAAGCCUGACGUGGUGGCGGUUAAAGACGGCAUCGCCCGCGUCAUCGACGCCCAGGUAGUCGGAGAC